AGAUACCCCUGUAGUCCCAGCCGUAAACUAUGCUCGCUAGGUGUCAGGCAUGGCGCGACCGUGUCUGGUUGCCGCAGGGAAGCCGUGAAGCGAGCCACCUGGGAAGUACGGCCGCAAGGCUGAAACUUAAAGGAAUUGGCGGGGAGCACCACAACGGGUGGAGCCUGCGGUUUAAUUGGACUCAACGCCGGGAAGCUCACCGGAUAAGACAGCGGAAUGAUUGCCGGGCUGAAGACUCUGCAUGACUAGCUG
rnacentral:rRNA from 1 species